CAACUGAGCACUGGAAGUGACUUCGAGAUUAGAACCCCACGCCCUCAUCAUGGAUCUGUGGCCAUGUCACAAGGGCUCCUGAGGGAGGGAGGGGACAGCAGGGAAGCAGAUUGGACCACAGCCCCUCCCCCACCAAGUGGCCUACAACUGCCUCCCUCCACCCUCCUGGGCCUUCUAGACCUUGGGUAGUUUUCUGUUCCUUCCACCUGGAAGCCAGAUGUCACUCGGUUCCUUGCGUCUCCUGGAUUCUUGGUUUCAACCCACCUAUGUCAUGGCCUUUGAACGUCUGAAGUUCUCCUGGUUUUGCUAAAAGCAAAAGAACCCUGAAUGGGAAGGUGAAGAGAUGUGUCACUGUUAAGGAAAACAGCAAUGCACAGACUUAUUGGAGCUCUACUUAAUGAAUUAAGUCUGAAGAAGGUAAGUACAGACACAUCAGCUGCAAAUCCAGAUCCUCUUCCUGCUCAUAUCAGCUUUUCCGAGAACAAAUUUGCAUCUGCUUGAUUCUGCUGCCAUCUACUGGGAAAAACAAAAACAAAAAUUAAACUACAGAGGGAGGAAAUAAACAUCCUCUCUAAUCUCAGUAUGCUUUGACCUACUCUGAAAUGUGGAAUUAAAC
rnacentral:lncRNA from 1 species